CAAGCAUUUUGUAGUUCCCACUUCCCAACAUUAAAUGUAAUCUCUCAUUUAUCUACAGCUAAACUCAAUUUUCUGUUCGCAUUUACAAACCACCACCUAAUUUUUCGAUCAUGCAGAUUUUGAGAUCCGUAGUUGCGCAGUGUUACCGUAGAGGGAGAUCGCUUGGGAUCGCCAAUCUUGCAAUUUCUCUUCAUCAACUUGUACCAAUGAGUGGAAGCGAGAAAGUCCGAAAGCUGGAGACUGGUUAUAGGGUGGCUUUUGUGUUUUGCUGUCCUGCAAAUUUCUGCAACUAGGGGGAAUGAUGCUAGAGAUGGAUGUGUAUGAAGAGAUUGCAGCCAAGGAGGGAAAAAAAGUGGCGUUUAGUACGUAUAUCAGUUAUUUCGGGAAAAGUACAUUUACUCCGAUGUACUACGAUGAUGAACUCGGUCGUUAUGUAGAAGAAGCCUAAUUAAUCUGCCUUUGGUUUAUGUUCUGAAGAAUAAAGUAGCUUCAUAUUGAUUCAUCUGUCUUUACAGUCUCUUGACUUGUUCUAAGUAUAAUAAGUCUUGCUUCCGAUUCUUUAGGAAACAAGUACAGUAUAUUUAAGAGACCAGUUUGUUCUGUUUUCAGUAUUUAUCGAUAGA